UACGGAGGAUCCAAGCGUUAUCCGGAUUUAUUGGGUUUAAAGGGUGCGUAGGCGGCUUAUUAAGUCAGGGGUGAAAGACGGUGGCUCAACCAUCGCAGUGCCUUUGAUACUGAUGAGCUUGAAUGAACUAGAGGUAGGCGGAAUGUGACAAGUAGCGGUGAAAUGCUUAGAUAUGACAUAGAACACCAAUUGCGAAGGCAGCUCACUACACAAAGAUUGACACUGAGGCACGAAGGCCAGGGGAGCAAACGGG
rnacentral:rRNA from 1 species